CCUUCUCUGUUCCCUGCCUUUUUACCACUCAUAUAUAAACUCUGUUCUUCCCGUUGAUUUCACAAACAUCGAGCACAGGAAUCCUAAAUCACAGACUCCUGCCGAAUUUGCAAUCUCUGCAAACAGAGUUGAAAUUACAGGGAGAGCUUUCGAUCUGAGCUCUCGCUACGAGUCCCGUAGUGGGCUUGUGUUUUAUGAAUGGUGUGCUCAGAAGCGAGGGCAGGUCAGCGAGUGCCGAAGGCGAUGGCGAUGGGAUACGAAAGAACAAGGCCGCUUCACAAUUUCACGCUUCCUUGCUUGAAGUGGGGCAACCAGAAGCACCUUCGGUGCCAGAAAGUCGAGGAAUUACACAAUCAAACAGUCUCGGCUGCCUCCAGCGAUCGUAAACGAAGAUCUCCACCAUCCAAUUCCUCCAUGGAUUCCCUUCGUGCAUUGGAUGUCGGUCGGCUCAAUAUUCCAAAGCCGAUUGGCGGCGAUGGCAAGGAGGAUGCGAAUGGGGUCGUGGGGGAGAUUGGCAUGAUUGAUCUGGUGAACGCCUUGUCUGGUUCUGAACAGGAUUCUGUGGGAGAGGGACAAAACGGUGCAUCCAAGUUGGUGAAUGGGCAGAGAAAGCAGGAACCUUCUGCCGCGGUGGCGCAGGUGGAUGAGGCGCGACCGUGGAAUCUGAGGACCAGGCGGUCCGCCUGUAAGGCACCGAUCAUUGAGGACGCCGUUGGUUCUGGAAACGGAUUAAGGAUCGAGAGGAAGCAAAAUUAUGAAUCGCCCUUGAGGAGUGAAAGCGCCAAGUCGCCGAGGGUUGGCGGCACUGGAGAGAAGGAGAAGGAGAGGGCUAAGUUCUCGAUUCAGCUCACGAAGAAGGAGAUCGAACAUGAUUUCAUGGCGUUAGUGGGCCAUCGUCCGAUGAAGUGUUUUUGGGUUUCUGAUAUUGUGUACUCAUGUUGCAGUCGCUCUUUCCGGGUGUGUGGUUGAGGGAAGUGACGGCUGAUAUGUACAAGGUGGAGGAAAAUCCAGAAAGCGGGAAGAGGUAGUCAUGGAGGAACAUUAGAUUUUCAAGGAUUAGCUGACUCAUGUGGGACUUCUGGUGGAGCUAAUUAGUGGUACACUGAAGUUCUGCACCAUCUCUGUGAAAUGGGAAUUUGAUGCAAGUGUUGAAUUCCCUGUUUUCACUAUGUGGUGUAAGUUCAGUUGCUUUGAAAUACUGUUUUUGUUCAUUAAUCAUUGUUUAAUUUUUCUUUAUUUUUACUAGAGAAUAAUUUGUCCAAAGAAAGGGUGUUCUAUGAGCUCAAUUGUUUGAGAACAGUUAAUAAGCUCUCUUGAAUUUUAAUAAAUCUAUUUCUGGGUUUUUUUUAAA